rnacentral:rRNA from 1 species
UCGAGGAUCUUCGUCAAUGGGCGCAAGCCUGAACGAGCGACGCCGCGUGCGCGAUGAAGGCCUUCGGGUUGUAAAGCGCGAAAGUGGGGAUAAAGCCGAAAGGUUGAUAGAUCCACAGUAAGGACGGGCUAAGUUCGUGCCAGCAGCCGCGGUAAGACGAACUGUCCUAACGUUGUUCGGAAUCACUGGGCUUAAAGGGCGCGUAGGCGGUCCGACAAGUCAGGGGUGAAAUCCUGCAGCUUAACUGCAG